UGUUCAGAUUAGUUCUUCAAAAAGAAGCCCCAGAGAACUGACGUUACCUCAGGUUCACUGAAAUCCUCUUUCUCUCAAGGAUUAUACUUGAAUUUGAAGCCAGUCUCCUGAAAGCCUCAGGCAGGUGGUCAACUUUGCUAGUGUGCGCCUUGCUGAGCACACAGGUGUUUCUGGACCCUUUUUCGAGUCUGGUUUUUCUGCAAGCCGAGUCUAGAUCUUUGGCACCAAUGGCGGCUGCCUCAGGCCCCCUCGGAGGUGGAGGGAAUGAGACCAGCAUUCAAAGAGAAGCAGAGACAGAGCAGAUAAGACACGUGCAAGAAAGAAA
rnacentral:lncRNA from 2 species